rnacentral:rRNA from 1 species
GACGAACCGUGCGAACGUUGUUCGGAUUCACUGGCUUAAAGGGCGCGUAGGCGGCUCGCCAAGUCGGGGGUGAAAUCUUUCGGCUCAACCGGAAAACAGCUUCCGAUACUGGCGGGCUCGAGUGGGGUAGGGGCGACUGGAACUUCCGGUGGAGCGGUGAAAUGCGUAGAUAUCGGAAGGAACACCAGUGGCGAAGGCGGUUGCCUGGAGCUUUGCUGACGCUGAUGCGCGAAAGCGUGGGGAGCGAUCCGG